UAACUUACCUGGCAGAGGAGAUAGAAUGAUCAAGAACCUGGUUCACCCAGGGCGAGUUUCAGCCACUGUACUCUGGUUGGGUUGACCCCUGUAAGAAUUUCCCAAACUUGGGAACCUUGACUGCAUACUUUCUGGUAGUGGGGGACUGCAAACAGGCUUUACCUUG